GCGCAACAACUUCCACCUGGCUUACCUUUUCAGUCUUGUGUCAUUGCUUGUAUCGCAUUGAAUGCAUGGUGGGUUUCNUGGGUUGCAAGCCUAAUUGAUGGUAUCAUUUGAAGAAUUGAUGACCCUUUUCAUCUUGUGUCGCACAUGCGAUGUGAGAUGAACCUUGAAGUAGCCUUUGUGAUCCACUCUUUCGAUGUACACGCAUUGAUUUUGUGGCCCACUGUGCGUUGCUUGUUCUCAUGGAUAUGGAACCUGGUGUGGGCAUGGGAUCUUUUCCUUGUUUGCCCUGGUUUAGCUUUUCUAAUACGAUUGUUUAUCACAUUUUAAUGUGGUAGGCUAUAUCGGAUAUGAAUGCUACCUGGUUGAUCCUGCC
rnacentral:misc_RNA from 1 species